AUGAACGAUAUUUGUCAUAGUGCUGAACUUUUGUACUUAACUUGCAGCAAGUAUGAUGCCUAUUUGUCUUCAAUUGGCCAUGGGACUAAGUUAGAGAUUAGUCGCACUCGCCAUGUGAAAUUCCAUGAGUGGUUUAAAUCCCAUGUGGCACAACUAAUUGCGAAUGGUGAAGAUAUUUCUGAAGAGAUUCGAACUUUAGCUAAUGGGCCCUUCUCAGCUGCAAGGAAAUGUAAUAGCUAUGCCAUAGAUGGGUACAAUUUCCACACGAAGUCCUAUGAUGAGGGUAGACCUACCCAAAGCAGUGGGGUUGCUCUUGUCUCUCAAAUUCUGUCCCCCUCAUGUGAAGAUAGUGAAAAUCUUAUGGUCACAAAUAAAAUAUAUUAUGGUGUGAUAACCGAAAUUCUUGAGUUAAAUUAUAACAACAAAGGAAGUAUUGUGCUUUUCAAAUGUGAUUGGGUUGACAACCGUGCACAAGACAAGUGGGUUCAAGUUGAUUAUUUGGGUGUCACGCGUGUGAACUUCAAGCAUUUACUCAAGUCUAAUGAACCUUUCAUUUUGGCAUCUCAAGCAACUCAAGUGUACUAUGUGCAAGAUGAUCUUGAUAUAGAUUGGUGUUUUGUUAGAAGUUUUCCACAUCCACGAGACCUUUAUGAUAUGUUUGAAGCGGAAGAUGGUGCUUAUGACCAGCAUGAUGCACCUAGAGUACCAAUCCUGAUCGUACAGACGUUCCGGGCGCUCGUCUUCUACGAUCAUAUUAUGCAUGAUCACACAAGCAGUCAUCACCUCCCAUAUUUUCUGCGUGCUCCAAGUAUUAGCAGGAUACCGAACGAUGCCCCAUCGAGAUUGCAAAACACCAAAGGCACGCUCAACAUCCUUUCUAACACUCUCUUGCUCUUGGGCAAAUCUUUUCCUUUUCUCUCCAACAGGGUUGGGUAUUGUCUUUACAAUAGUGGUCCUGAGGAUAGAUACCGUCACCCAAAUAGUACCCUUUGUCGUAGUUGUGGCCGUUGA
rnacentral:rRNA from 1 species